AGCGCUUCCAGAAAACGCCAAGUAGGAAUAUUGCAGCAAUGGGCGGGGAGAGGUAACCGCUGAUCUCCUGGAUCGUAAGGAAUAGUUGGCCAUCUUGAAGCAGAAGCAUAACGGGGACCUAAGUGAAACAAUUCCGAUACUUUACCUGUUAAAUAUUGAAUCGAGGUCGCUCAUUAGCGCAGCGAUCAUCACAGCCAUCAUUAACCCUCGCGCGCCUGUGGAUGUUAAGUGUUCCCAGUUGAUUUUUACACAAAAUACCUGUUGGCAUCACUCCCAGCACCAACCGAGGGAACGCAAUGUUUGAACACCCCGUGGAACUUUGACAGAUCGCGUAACAAACCUCUGGAUCAACGCAAGCCACUUCAUCUGUGUCAUAAUAAAAGAAUUCUACUUAUGAGACCGGGCAUAACCAUGAUGAAAAGGGGGAGAGUUUUAAGGAACCCUGCGAAAAUGGUUGCGCCCUGUGCAUGGGAAAGACUCUUGGCAGCCAACGCUCGUUGUACAAUCACCUGUUUAUGAGGAGGCAUGGUCUCUCAGCCUUCCCCUCCCCCAUUCUGCGACAGCGACGCCCAUGUUAUCAUUUGGGGGGCAUGGCCUUGGCGACACCCAUGUUAUCAGCUAUGUAGACCUUAUUC